ACAAGCGUCCUCUCCUGCUGCCGUGUGAGAUAUGGCUGCUUCCCGUUCUGCCAUGAUGCGCUCUUCAAGGGUACCCGAAGCGAAUUUGCACCAAAGCAGCAGCUGCGUUGCUGCAGUUCUAUCUUCACCUUCACGAUGUUUCUCUUGGUCAAAAACACACUCAAGUCGUCUCCAAGUUCGAAGCAUUCAGCAAACAAUGGCAAGGCAGAGCCACCAGAAAGGUGCAGGAUUUCAGACGAGUAGCCACCUGGAUGAGAUACUGAUUUUCCUGCUGAGUAGGAGUUGAAACAGAAUGGAGGGUGGAGAGAAAGGAACCAGAAACAUGGAAGAAAACUGGAACCAGCUCACACAGAGCAUCUGAGGAGGAGAGGGAAGAAAAGCCUGCAGGAGCCCCUUUUGCCCUUGACUGCCCUGUCCUGGAAGUGACCCCUCACUUCUGCUCAGAUUCCAUCAGUGAGAACGAGGCACAGGGACCCACCGAGACACCAAUGGGCUGUGGGCUGAGGAAGAGGUCCUUGUUCUGCGCUUCCUGAGUCUGGAAUUCCUUGUCCUCCUCCUUUGCCUGGUGAACUCCUACUCAUCCGUCAAAGCUCAAAUCAAUCAAAUAUUUCUUUAUGAGGUCUGUUGUGAAUCUCCUGGUUGAAACACAAUAGGAACUUCUUGUGUAAAUAAAUAAUGAAAUAAAACAGCAAAGUGGAAAGAGAUGAGAAUAAAGAAAUCACUGGAACAAUUAGGAGGAGACCCUUGAGAAACUCACCAGAAAGUGAGUGCCACUCCCCGGGGUGACUGGCUUAGCACUCUCUAGGCAGUGUGAAGCUUGCAUCUUCCAUACCUGUGGUCUCACUUUCAUAAUAUUUUGUAUGUAUGAAUUUUAGCAUGUGUACUCCCCCCACCACACACCCACACAUACCCACACUCACCCAUACUUUUUACUUACGUAUUUAAAAAAAUUUUUGUUUCUUCCUUUUUUUAUUUUAAAGCAACUGUACCCUUUGUUUAAAGGAAAUCAUAAGGAAACCCUACAAAACAAACAGCAGUAGAGCUCCUUUAUUGAAGUGUGUGUGGGGCCCACUCCAUCUUCCCUUCAUCCAAGGCAGCUCUGGUCAUGCAUCUCAAUGAAAGCCUGAAGUUCCCAAAACAUUUUAAAAUCUAAGGCUUAAAAAAUGCUGAUGUGCAUAUAUAAAGGCCAAAGUUCUUGGCUUGACACACCUGACCUUCCGUCUACCUUACCUCUUUCAUCUCUUGUGACUAUGCUCCAUGAAUUUUAGACUCCAGCCACUCAAUUUUGUUGUUUCUCAAAGGAUUAUUCCUUUUUAUACCUCUUGGGUGCUUCACAGGCUUUCCUUUUCCUGGCAUGUCCUGUCCCCUUCUCUGCCUGACUCCAUCUCAAAAGCCACUACUUCUCUGAAGGGCUGUCUCUGAUGGUGUUAUGCAGAGUUCAUUAUUGCCUCUUCUGUGUUCUAAAGCACUUUGUUAGGUUUGUAUAUCGUAUUUGUAUUAUGACAAUGUGACUAAUGACAAUGCGUUUAGGUCUGGUGAGAUUAAACAUGAAGCAUGGGCACAGAUUAUUGGGACAGGGUAGCAGUGGGUUGAUUUCAUGUGCUAUAAUAUUUCAACAUUUCUAACUCCCUUCCUUGCUGGGAAGUUGUGUGCAUGUGUGCGUGUGUUGCGUGCAUGCAUGUGUGUGUGCACGUGUGUGUUUAUGCUUCAGACCCUCUCCACUUCCUCUCCAAUCUAUACUGUGUUGAUGCAGGGGAAUAAUCAGACAACACAAGCUGUGCAGUCAGGGGAUGUUUCAAGAUGUGACACAGGAAGUGUCCUAGAACUUGUUCCUGUUCAAUGGGGAAAUCCAUGUUUAGUUAUCCUUCUUGCCAAGAACUAAGGAGGAAUUUAAUUGUUCUCUUUACUUAAAUACCUACAGAAGGCCGACCAAGGUGGCAAAAGUGCAGAAUGCCCAGAUUAGAGAUCUACAAAGCCACAGGGCUUUGCAAACAGGAGGAAUAGACAUUUCUGGCCAACAAAUUAUUAACAACUGCCUCCUUACAAGGAGUGGGGAGGAAACCUCUUUAGCAACACACUACUGAUAAAGAAACUUGAGGUUUCCAUAUAUGGAGACUAAAAUGAUGUACAAAGAGUUCUAAGGGUCCUGAAAUAAGGAACCAUCAUCCCAGCAUGGAACAGUGAAGUAGAAGGGGAACAGCAAGAUGAAGACUCCAGACAAGGCCCAAGCACACACAGCUGCUCCAGCCACACCCGCUGGUCUCAGUUGACUGGUUUGGAGGUGGACAUCUCACUCAAGCUCGGCCAAUGGGUGUCCCUCCUCUGGGGCUUUUGAACAUGGGAUUUUAGAGAGCUUGAGGAUGUCACUGGAGGCUGAUGUAACUCUUGGAGCUAUUGGAAACUAUUAGGAGAAUGCCAAUUAGCAGCAAGGAAGAGGUGAGCUCACAUGCAGAGAGAAACAGCUGCAGAGACUUGAUGACAUUAUUGGUUCUGGAUCCCAUCACGGCUGAAGGUUGCUUAUCAUUCUGCCCUUCACCUGGCUUAGUCUGGGAAGUGAUUUCUUAAUUUUCUCCAAGGCAAUACAUGUCCCUCUCCAUUUUAGCUGGCCUAAGAUAAUUUUUGUCAAUUGGAACCAAAUAGCUCUCAUUAAUACUGAUCACUGUACACUUUCCUGUCGAAAAUUUGAAAAUGGUUCUUCAUUCCCCUAGGAAUACAAAGCAAAAAUAAAAAUCUCUACCAUAGCCUACAAGGCCAGCGUGGGCUGGCUCCUUUCUGGCUCCUAGACCUCAAGUUGUAUCCUUGGACAUCACCUAUUAACAGGCCCUUGUCCAUGGGGCUCCCUCCAUGUGGAAUGCCCUCCCUUCGACCCUACUCAGUCUUCAGAUUACAGACCGACCACAGCUUCUCUGGGAAGCAUUUUCUGACCUCCGUGGCAGACCAAACUCCCAUGGAAUAGUCCCUUGGAGUACCAAGUCACCAUCUCCCCAGCACUUGCCACAAUUGUAAUUGUACUUUCAUUUGUGAUUAUGUGAUGGUUAUUUGUCUCACCUGCUGUCAGAUCAGUGGCAGCAUUAGAUUCUCCUAGGAAAAACCAACUCAGGGAUCCCAUUGAUUCUACAUUAUGGUGAGUAUGAAUAAUAAUAGGAAUAAAGUACACAAUAAAUGUUAUGUGCUGGAAUCAUCCUGAAACCAUUUCCCCACCCACCGUCCAUGGAAAAAUCAUCUUCCAUAAAACCGGCCAAAAAGGUUUGGGGACCACUGCUCUACACCAUCUCCAGCACCCAACUCAGUACCGUAGUGGCUGUCAGAUGGGUUUGCAACUUCAUGGACACUCCUCCUCUCAAAUUCUCCUUAAGUGGGCCCAGCUUGGUGACUCAUUUCUAAUGAAUGAAAUGCAGUGAAAGUGAUGUGAUGUAAUUUCUCAGGCUAAGUCCUAAAAGGAAGCUGCUUCCACUUGGCUGUCCCUCGAGGACUGUUUACUUUGAGAAAGGCUAUCUGUCAUUUUGUGAGGACACUCAAGCAGCAUGUGGAGGGCCCUAUAUAGGGAAGAACUGGGUCCUCCCACCAGUGGCUGUUACCAGCUCACUAGCCAUGCAAGUGAACCACCGUGGACAUAAAUCUUUUAUUCCAGUCCAGCCUCCAGACGACUGCAACCCCAAAUAACAUCAUUACUGCAAUCUUAUGAGGGACCCUGAGCCAGAACCACCCAGUUAAGUUACUCCCAAAUUCCUGAUCCACAAAACUGAGUGAGAUAAUAAAUAUUUAUUAUUUUAAGCCACUAAGUUUUGGGAUGAUUUGUUGUGCAAUAGGUAUGCCUGGCACGCAGUAGAUAUUCAGUGGCUAUUUGUUGCCUGUCUGGAUAAAUAAUACAGUGGAUAAAUCAAACUUAAAUUAUAGCCAAUGUUUUAAGCCUCCUCCUCUGCCCAUUUGGAUUUCUCCUAGCUCUGACAUUCUGGGCCCUAUGAUUGUAGUUGAUGUUGUCAGUGGCUGGCUUGUAUCACCCAGACCUUUCCAUGCUCCAUAUCUACUUCUUACUGCCAGGGUUUGUCUUUAGGGAUCAAAUCUUUGGAUAAUUCUAGGGAGUAUGUUUGCUCCAUUUCCCAAAGGAUUUGAGCUUCAGUUACUCAUAGGGGCCACUGGUUUAAUAACACAUGCUUUAUUCAUUGCCUCCCCUUCCUUGUAUUAUUCCACUACUUCCUUGCAUGUCCCAUAUCAACUACUUGUGCUCAGAUCCUUUCUUUAGGGUCUGCUUUUUUGGGGGACCCCACACUAAUACCGUGCUCUUUUUUGCAGGUAGGGGCCAUGCCUUGUACUUUCUUGUGCUCCCACAGGGCCUGAGACUGAGCCAGGUUCUCAAUUCUAGAACCAGUCUCCAGGUAUCCCUGUAGGAAGGUCCCCAUAGCUCUGGUGCCAGGAACUAAGAGAUGGAGUCCAUUGGAGGAAGACCAAAGCACACUUCUCUUGAGGAAGUGCCUGUUUUUAACUCCACAUCCUUUUGCCCUGUUCUCGUCUGCUCUGAUGGGAGCUCCUGGGUCUACCUGGGUGUCCUUAUAAGAGAAAGGGACAUUACACACAAACACACACGGCAAGGCUGUGAGAAGAUGGAGGCAAAGUGGAGUGAUGCGUCUACAAGUCAAAGAAGAAUAAGGGUUGCUGGAACCACCAGAAACUACGAGAGAGGCAUGGAUCAGAUUUUCCCUUGGAGCCUCCAGAAGGAGCUAUCUCUGCCAAUACCUGGAUUUCAGACUUCUGGCUUUCUGAAUGAAAAACAUUGCUGUCCCUUGCUACAGGAUGCUUCUCAAAUGCCAAGAAUUCUACCAUGCCCCUGGCCAGCUCCAUCAGACAAGAUGGGCAGAAGGCAGCACUGCCCCAAGGUGGCACUGCCAGGGACUUCCAUCCCCCUCCAGCCACCAGAGUGACUGAGGACCAUGGAGAUUGAGAGCCCCAGGAAAUACUCCUUACCUGGGCUUUCACAGCCCGAGAGACCACCAGGAUGAACCCCACACACAGCUGCCACCAGGAACCACAGCCCCGGGUCAGGACAGUGAAUUUAGAUAAGAUGCUCUGGAAGGAACACCUGCCCAGUAACAGCACCUCUACCAAUGAACUGACUCCAAUGCUGGCUUCGAGGCUCUAAAAUCAGUAAACUCUGUUUCCCAGCAGCUUAUGUGAAUGUCUCCUUUUGC
rnacentral:lncRNA from 1 species